AGAGUUUGAUCCUGGCUCAGGAUGAACGCUGGCGGCGUGCUUAACACAUGCAAGUCGAACGGGAAACCUUUUAAAGAAGCUUCGGCAGAUUUAGCUGGUUUCUAGUGGCGGACGGGUGAGUAACGCGUGGGUAACCUGCCUUGUACAGGGGGAUAACAGUCAGAAAUGACUGCUAAUACCGCAUAAGCGCACAGGACCGCAUGGUCCGGUGUGAAAAACUCCGGUGGUAUAAGAUGGACCCGCGUUGGAUUAGCUAGUUGGUGAGGUAACGGCCCACCAAGGCGACGAUCCAUAGCCGACCUGAGAGGGUGACCGGCCACAUUGGGACUGAGACACGGCCCAAACUCCUACGGGAGGCAGCAGUGGGGAAUAUUGCACAAUGGGCGAAAGCCUGAUGCAGCGACGCCGCGUGAGCGAAGAAGUAUUUCGGUAUGUAAAGCUCUAUCAGCAGGGAAGAUAAUGACGGUACCUGACUAAGAAGCACCGGCUAAAUACGUGCCAGCAGCCGCGGUAAUACGUAUGGUGCAAGCGUUAUCCGGAUUUACUGGGUGUAAAGGGAGCGCAGGCGGUGCGGCAAGUCUGAUGUGAAAGCCCGGGGCUCAACCCCGGUACUGCAUUGGAAACUGUCGUACUAGAGUGUCGGAGGGGUAAGCGGAAUUCCUAGUGUAGCGGUGAAAUGCGUAGAUAUUAGGAGGAACACCAGUGGCGAAGGCGGCUUACUGGACGAUUACUGACGCUGAGGCUCGAAAGCGUGGGGAGCAAACAGGAUUAGAUACCCUGGUAGUCCACGCCGUAAACG
rnacentral:rRNA from 1 species